rnacentral:rRNA from 1 species
UGGGGAAUAUUGCGCAAUGGGCGCAAGCCUGAUGCAGCCAUGCCGCGUGUAUGAAGAAGGCCUUCGGGUUGUAAAGUACUUUCAGCGGGGAGGAAGGGAGUAAAGUUAAUACCUUUGCUCAUUGACGUUACCCGCAGAAGAAGCACCGGCUAACUCCGUGCCAGCAGCCGCGGUAAUACGGAGGGUGCAAGCGUUAAUCGGAAUUACUGGGCGUAAAGCGCACGCAGGCGGUUUGUUAAGUCAGAUGUGAAAUCCCCGGGCUCAACCUGGGAACUGCAUCUGAUACUGGCAAGCUUGAGUCUCGUAGAGGGGGGUAGAAUUCCAGGUGUAGCGGUGAAAUGCGUAGAGAUCUGGAGGAAUACCGGUGGCGAAGGCGGCCCCCUGGACGAAGACUGACGCUCAGGUGCGAAAGCGUGGGGAGCAAACAGG